rnacentral:rRNA from 1 species
UUCCAGCUCCAAUAGCGUAUAUUAAAGUUGUUGCAGUUAAAAAGCUCGUAGUUGAAUUUCGGGACCAAUAUGUCGGUCGUACUUUGUACGUACUAGCAUUAUUGGUUUCUCCCUUCUGAAGAACCACGAUGUCAUUAAUUUGGUGUCGUGGGGAAUCAGGACUGUUACUUUGAAAAAAUUAGAGUGUUUAAAGCAGGCUCGCGCUUGAAUACAUUAGCAUGGAAUAAUGAAAUAGGACGUUUGAUUCUAUUUUGUUGGUUUCUAGGAUCGACGUAAUGAUUAAUAGGGAUAGUUGGGGGCAUUAGUAUUCAAUUGUCAGAGGUGAAAUUCUUGGAUUUAUUGAAGACUAACUACUGCGAAAGCAUUUGCCAAGGAUGUUUUCAUUAAUCAAGAACGAAAGUUAGGGGAUCGAAGACGAUCAGAUACCGUCGUAGUCUUAACCAUAAACUAUGCGACUAGGGAUCGG